CGUGCACCGCCGCCAUGACGGGCAGUCCCCCCCCUGCAGCCUCCCCCGCCCCGGAGUUUUCGGGGUCCCCCCGGCUUCAAAGCGCUGGGAAAAAGCACAGUGAUUGUUGAUAUAAUUGUCACCAAAUCCCGCCUUGGACGUGAUGAGGAAAAUGCGAUGGUAAGAGGAAAAAAAGCAAACAAACAACGUGUCCCCGACCGACAGCUCAUGCACUGAUCACACCUGCAGAGACAGAAAUGUUAAGAGGGUUCUGUUCUACCGCCCACUGCAAGAAGGAUGUGAAAAUUGCAACAGAAUAAGAUGUGCCUUCCGCCGAAACGCAGUGAAAUGAAACUUCAAGAAGGAAAAAGUGAUGCUGCUGUCUUUCGACUGAGAAUAGUCAAUGACAAAUUAUUAUUGGAGAUAAAACCUAUAUACAUCUCAGUUGUCUGAUGCCUCAGAAACCAAAGCCAGGCAUUUGUACAAUGGAAAUUCCCUAUUUUACUUGAAAUGAUAACUAUAUGCUGCAUAAAUGAAAAAGCACCUGACAUUUUCUAUGUGGUUUAUUUUAGCAGUAGAGUACUUCUGCAGCACAUGGGGGUACAAGGUUCUAUACUGCUGUUCUUUAUAACAACAACGAUAAUGUAUUUUUCAGAAGGUGUUUAAUGAAGAGACCAGGACUCCUCAUGCAUCAUAAUUGUAUAGAAGUGCGAAACAACAAUUUGAAUCCAGUCGUAAGGCAGAAAUUUCCUUUCAUGGAGCCUACUGCACUGAUUGAAAACACUGCCUGUACAUGGCAUGUUAGGUCUCAGGCCAUCAGACUGUGUUGACUCUCACAGUAAACACUGGAGGAAAUCAAGUCAUCCAGACUAUUGUGAUUGUUAGAUGCUAAUGUCUGGUGAAAUGAAGCAUGCAGAUAAAGCUAACAGAUCUAAUUUAGCUACUCCAUCAGGAAUUACAAGACUCUCCCAGCUCCACAAGUUAGAAAUAGCCUGCACGUUGCUCAAUGGUGACUUUAAAUUUCUCCAGGAGAAAAAUCUCCAUCUCCUCUGCUUCAUUAUGUUGUUUUGUAUACAUUACUUACAGUCAUCGUUUACUUAACUCCUGUCAAUACCCACAUCAAUUUAGAGAGCAUAUAAAAAAAUAUAAAUAAAAAGUUUGUGGUCACACACAGACGUGAGCUGCUGGGUCUGCACUGAGGUUAAACUGGACAUUAAUCCUCCAGUGUAAAAUUUAAGGAGUGCCAGUAGAGAUCAACAAUUGUAAAGCAGGUAAAAUCUUCUCUGCGAUUCCUCCACAAUUCCUCUGCAAUUCCUCCUACUGAAACAGCAGGGGUUACUUGGGCAGACAAGCCAUGAGGUCUCAUUUUUGUGAGGAGACAACUGGUGCUUAGGAAAGGUGUGGGAAAAGCCCAGGAAAGAACCAGCCCCAAAAUUUACUACAGCCUGUGGGUGCUUUAGAUACGCAGUGUUACACAUUCAGCACAGCUGAGUCAUACUGGACUUCAUACAGUUAAAAUAUUGGUUCUUUAUAGCUCUCAGUGCCACGUGGAAGCUUUGUCACUUGGCUGGAUGCUGACACACUCCCAGGAGCCACACAGCAAAACAAGAGCUGAUAUUUGCAUGGUUGCCUUUGUGAUCCCCAGGCAUUCUGAACACAGAAAGAAAAUACUCUUCAGGAUCACAACUUGUGCCUGGUUUUCUGUUGUGCUGAGCAGCAGACAGCUGGUAUCCUGUUUGUACAAUAAACACAACUCAUGGAUGUGGUAAAAUCUGGAUUUUGUCAGAUUUCCACUUGUCACGAGGACAAGUAGCAUCUGC